CCUUUUCCAUCCUUGGCAUUGG
rnacentral:miRNA from 15 species